rnacentral:rRNA from 1 species
AGACCCGAAACCCGGUGAUCUAGCCAUGGGCAGGUUGAAGGUUGGGUAACACUAACUGGAGGACCGAACCGACUAAUGUUGAAAAAUUAGCGGAUGACCUGUGGCUGGGGGUGAAAGGCCAAUCAAACCGGGAGAUAGCUGGUUCUCCCCGAAAGCUAUUUAGGUAGCGCCUCGUGAAUUCAUCUCCGGGGGUAGAGCACUGUUUCGGCUAGGGGGCCAUCCCGGCUUACCAACCCGAUGCAAACUGCGAAUACCGGAGAAUGUUAUCACGGGAGACACACGGCGGGUGCUAACGUCCGUCGUGAAGAGGGAAACAACCCAGACCGCCAGCUAAGGUCCCAAAGUCAUGGUUAAGUGGGAAACGAUGUGGGAAGGCCCAGACAGCCAGGAUGUUGGCUUAGAAGCAGCCAUCAUUUAAAGAAAGCGUAAUAGCUCACUGGUCGAGUCGGCCUGCGCGGAAGAUGUAACGGGGCUAAACCAUGCACCGAAGCUGCGGCAGCGAACGUAUCACCCAAGACAACUUUACGGAGUUGACGAUUGACGGAGCGAAGCGACGUCAAAGCGUUCAUUAAAGUCGAGUUGGCUUAGGGAUACGUUCGUUGGGUAGGGGAGCGUUCUGUAAGCCUGUGAAGGUGUGUCGUGAGGCAUGCUGGAGGUAUCAGAAGUGCGAAUGCUGACAUAAGUAACGAUAAAGCGGGUGAAAAGCCCGCUCGCCGGAAGACCAAGGGUUCCUGUCCAACGUUAAUCGGGGCAGGGUGAGUCGACCCCUAAGGCGAGGCCGAAAGGCGUAGUCGAUGGGAAACGGGUUAAUAUUCCCGUACUUGGUGUUACUGCGAAGGGGGGACGGAGAAGGCUAUGUUGGCCGGGCGACGGUUGUCCCGGUUUAAGCGUGUAGGUGUGUGUUCCAGGUAAAUCCGGUUCACUUUAACACUGAGGCGUGACGACGAGGCACUACGGUGCUGAAGCAACAAAUGCCCUGCUUCCAGGAAAAGCCUCUAAGCAUCAGGUAACAUCAAAUCGUACCCCAAACCGACACAGGUGGUCAGGUAGAGAAUACCAAGGCGCUUGAGAGAACUCGGGUGAAGGAACUAGGCAAAAUGGUGCCGUAACUUCGGGAGAAGGCACGCUGACAUGUAGGUGAAGUGAUUUACUCAUGGAGCUGAAGUCAGUCGAAGAUACCAGCUGGCUGCAACUGUUUAUUAAAAACACAGCACUGUGCAAACACGAAAGUGGACGUAUACGGUGUGACGCCUGCCCGGUGCCGGAAGGUUAAUUGAUGGGGUCAGCGCAAGCGAAGCUCCUGAUCGAAGCCCCGGUAAACGGCGGCCGUAACUAUAACGGUCCUAAGGUAGCGAAAUUCCUUGUCGGGUAAGUUCCGACCUGCACGAAUGGCGUAAUGAUGGCCAGGCUGUCUCCACCCGAGACUCAGUGAAAUUGAACUCGCUGUGAAGAUGCAGUGUACCCGCGGCAAGACGGAAAGACCCCGUGAACCUUUACUAUAGCUUGACACUGAACAUUGAGCCUUGAUGUGUAGGAUAGGUGGGAGGCUUUGAAGUGUGG